CUCUUUUCAUUUACUUCAUCACAUUUUGCAAUUUUAUGCAUGCAAUGCCUGCAGAUUUUUUGAUAAGAGACUGUCCAAGAUUCCUUGGGAUAUUCUAUGUAGACGUUUACGUCUUUUCCAAAAAGGAUAAUUGAACUUUUCAUUUAUGAUUUGUAUGAUUUGUAUUUUCUUGCCUUAUGGCACUGGCCUACACUUCUAGUAAAGUAUUAAAUAGGAAUGUCACAUGGACAUCUUUGCAUUGAUUUGGACUCUACAGGAACAUCAUUUAUCACUAAGUAUAUAAUCAUUAUGGGUUUUUAUAGAUGUCUGUUUUUAUUCCUAGAUUAAUGAAUGUGUUUAUCAUAAAUGAGUAUUGAAUUUCAUCAAACUCUCUGUCAAUUGAUAUGAUAAUGUCCUUUUGUUUUUUAAAUUGUAAAUAUGAUUAUUACAUUGAUAGGUUUUUCAGUAUCAACCAGCUUUACAUUCUUCAGAUAAACCUAACUUUAUUAUGUAAUCUUAUGAGUUUAUGUAUUGCUUGAUUUGAUUUGCUUAUAUUUUGUUAAGAAUUUUUACACCUAUAUAUAUUUUGGAUAUUGGUCUGUAGAUUCAUUUUAUUUUAUUUUUGUGUCAUUGUUUUCUUUUUUUUCAUUCCAUUUUUGUACUGUCUUUGGGUGGUUUUGGAAUUAGAAUAAUGCUGGCUAAAUUAACUGCUCCAGUAUUCUGCUUUCCGGAAGAGAUUGUUUCAAAAUUGAUACUAUUUCUUCUAUAAAGAUUAGGUAGAGUUUACGAUUGAAACCAUCAUUGAUCAGAUGUUUCUUUUCAAAAUUUUUUAACUUAAAUUUUUAAAAGAUAUAUUGGAUUGUAUAUGUUAUUUGUAUCAUCUUUUCUAUGUUCAUGAUUUAUGGGGAAAUUAAUUAAUUUUAUUUUGUUGAAUUUAUGAGAACAGAGUUGCUCAAGAUAUGACCUUAUGCUUUUAUUGUCUGUACAUCCUAGUUAUAUUUUUUCCUUCUUCCCUACUAUUGACAAGUUGUAUCUUCCUUCUUGCUAAAUACCUAUCAACUUCAUCUUUUUAAAGAAUCUGAUUUCAGCGUCAUUUAUAUUUUUCUCUGUUUUAAUUCGAAAUAUCAUUUUUUCUUCUCUUAUUUACUUUUUCUUACUUAAUUUGGCUUAGUUUUCUAAAGCUUAAAGUAAUAAUAAAAGAUAAGCAUUUGCUGUUUUUUUUUUCUGUACAUGUAUUUUUUUGUAGCAUUUUGAGAAACAGGAUGAAUUUUUAAAGACAGGAUUUUUACUACAUGAAUUCUGUCUCCAAAUAUCACCAUGAAAUACCAGCAAAACUUACCUUCCCAUACAUUUUUAAUAUAUUUACGUUCA
rnacentral:lncRNA from 1 species